UAUACAACUAUGUAUUGGAGGAGUUUGGGGAGAAAAAGCAGAAAGAAAAAAAAAAGAUCGGCAACAAUUGUUAGCUCAGGUGCCAAUCUUUUAAAAAGAAAACCACCUCCUCCAUGAAGACUUCCCUGCUUUCCCCAGUCCUGGGUGCAGGUAAUCCCACCUCCAUCUGUGCAAUCAUUACUCCCCUGGGACAUACCUGUGUGGAAGCACCCAGCACUUGUCUGUGUCUCCCUCACUGACUCUCGGAGGCAGGGAAGGGGUCUUAUCCAUCCUUGUAUUCCCCAGCUCUAGCACACAGAAGGCCUCAAAUACACAUCUGUUGAAUGAAGAAGAUAAAAUUUAGACAGGCUGAGCCACGCAGGAGGAUGCAGGGUCCAGAAUGGCAGGCUGUGGAAAGAUAUAAAACCGCCCGUAGCCUCUCUCACCCCCACCUCCUCCCCUAGAGAGACGAAAAUCCAAAAUUACAUUAAAAAAAAAUCAGAAAGUGAUUCCAAUCUUUACCAAAGGAUCUUCUAUAGUAUUCUUUAAAUAGCCAGCUCCCUUGGUGCAUUUGAAAUAAGAUAGAAUUUGCAAAAGUGCAUACAGUAUGUGGGGGCCUGUGGACUCCGUGAUGGCAGGGCAGAGAGAGCCAGGGGGUGGAUGAGGUUUCUGUCAGGCCAUCUGGAAGCUUUGGAGGGGAGGAUCCUGUGGUGGACAAGCUGUGGGAUGGACAAGAUUGGGGGCAUACUGUGGGAGAUGCCCAGAGCAGAGCUAAUCCAAGGUGGCUUCCUGGAGGGGGCUGAGGUUUGAGUCAUCUUCUGCAGGAAACAAAAGGAAGGGGAAAUGGGGAAGAAAGUGGCAAGUAACCUCUCUUCCGGGCUAAGGAAUUUCUGAGGAAAAGGGCAGGAGCCAGAGUUCUGAGCUGGAGGAAGAUGAGAACAAGCCGAUGCCUCCAGCCUCUCCUCCUGAGACCCUCCCACCCAGCUGGGCGCUGCCCAGGACGCUGGCAGCUGCCGGGGAAGACACAGUGGGCCUGGACUUCUAGAAGCACACGAGAGCCAUAGCUCGGGCUCCGCCCCUCCAAGGCCAGUGGUCACUUGCAGGCAAGUGCCCCUGUGACAGGGAUUUUCAGGGCCACAGCUGCUGAGUCACGCUUUCCAAAUCAGGCUCCCUGGUCUAGAGAGCCCCAGCAUCCCAAUGGGCGAUGAGGACAGAAGCUUCGGAAUUAGGGGCGUCCCGGGAAGCUGAGAGAGAUGGUCAGCCGUCGACCUGGCCUCUGUGCUGGGAGCUCCUGUUGCCUUCCCCAACAGGGACAGUGGGGGCACCUUGCUGGGCCCUCAAAUCCUAUUUGGAGCCUGGAAAUUUCAUAAUUUUUCCCAGGCCGGAAAUGGUUCCCGGGAAAACUUUGGCAGAGGAAGUGGAGUCCAGGCAGCUGUUCAUCCACAGCGGGAUUGAGAGCCUGAAGUCGUGGUUCCAGCAGCCCCUGCCUCCUCCUCCCCACGCCAGCCCCAUCAUCCAACAGCAUUUCCUGAGCACCCACGGGGUGCAUGCGCCCUGCAAGACCCUAGGGGGAAGAGAACUGCUGAACAGGCAGGUGGAUGCUGGCAAGUCCCCGGAUACAGGCCGGGGGCAAGGUCUGUCCUCAAGCCACUAUGGUGCUGUGAGACCCACUCAGCCUGUGCUGCCUCCUGUAGCUGUCACCAGGGACCCCUGCCCAGGGGUCUCUUGGGGCUGCUCUGUGCCCAGUCAGGCCCAGCCCAGGACAGGACAGAUAGCUCUUUAGACAGCCCCUACCCCAGGCUGCCCUCCACAGUGCCUGGCACACAGUAGGUGCUCGGUAGGUAAAUGAGGCCCACUGCCCGCCCUCAUCCACUGGCUGGCACUAGCUGUCUAGCAGCUGCGCUAAAGUGGGUCCAGCGCUGCUCCAGUUGGAACCCCAAAGCCCCUUCCCACCAGAUCUUAGGGAACUGAGGCUGAGGUAGACAGGCCCAAGCCUGGACGGGCAGACCCCAGGGGAGCUGGAGCAGAAGGAGGGCAUCAGAUGGCAUGGGGUCACAGGAGCCAUCCCAGUCCUGCCCUCGCUGACUGUGGGUGGGCCAGCCUCUCUCCAGGCCUCGGUCCUCGCACCAGACAACCUAGGCCCUGCCCUGCUGUCCUGGAGAAGUCAAACACGGGUUGGGGGCAGCUCAGAAGCCCAGCCCAGAGCCCACACGGGACUCAGACACACCUUCUGGAAAACCUUGUGGGGCUGCAGCCUGCUGUGACCACUAGAUGUCACUGGUGACCUCCCAGGCUGGCUUCAGCGACCAAUGCCAGCCAAGCGGGCCUGCGGCCUCCUCCCUCUUGGGGCCUAAGCACACAGGAAUGGAACAGGGUCCAGAGCCUCAUCCGGAGACCAGCCCCCUUCUCCCGCAGACUGCCAGUCACCCCCGCCCCACCCUGAGCUGGGUGCUGUGCCAGGCGCUGAGGCAGGAAGAGAGGAUAGUAAGACGAGUCCCUGUGUGGGGGGACACACACACAUAAACCCAUCAUUUUGGCAUUAUUUGUAAACCUUACGGAGGAGGGAAAGGAACUCCUGACUACAUCAGGAGGUGGGGCAGGUCAGAGGCGCUUCCCCAGGGAGGGCCCCUGGGUGGGUCUGAAGGAGGAGCAGGAGCUGCCCCACUGAACAAGGCAGGAGGGGCGUCCUGGCUGGGGGCCCAGCACGCGCAAGCCCCUGUGGAGAGUGUGGGGCUCGGUGCGGCUGGAGUACUGAGGAUGGCAGGCAGAGACAGGGCAGGCAGAGGGGGAGAGACAGGGCAAGAGAAGACAGAGAGGGGCCAGCCACCUUCACGGAAGGGCUUUCCGCUGGGCCCCAACUUCUCUGAGUUAAAUACGUCACAACCUAAAUGCCUGAAGUGCACACAGGAGUCCAGAAGGAGCAGCCCACAGCUACUGCUCACUCUCUCUUAUAUGCGUAUGCACAAACACACACACACUCUGCCACCCUAAGCCGAAUCAAUGAAGGGGCUUCUUUACUACACUGUCUCUGAGCUCUACCAGGGCUGAGAGACAACAGGAGCCCCUCCCUCAACCCCGCCAGCACUACACUGACCAGAAUGAGUUCUCUGCUCCCUCAGCGCCUUCUCUGGGGAGCCCUGGAGGGGACACUCCCCAUGGUGUGGCUGGAGGCCUCAUCUCAGUUAGGGGUACUCCAACCGAGAUCCACACGGGGCGUCCCCUCGGCCGCCUGCACCCUGGGCUGUGCAGUUGCAGCUGAUAAAAAAAUAGUCUGCUUCAGCCCAUAGCUGUGUUACUGUAACGUUCAUUUAAACAUACUAAAUGUGCUCUGAACUUUAGCGUAGUGGUAUUAUAAAUGCUCAGGGAAUGGGAGUCAGCGAGAUGACGACUCAGACAAGGGGCCGUUGGCGAGCCCUGGGAAUCAGGAGAAGGCUCAGAUCCACAGGACCCUGGGUUGGUUAUGCACGCAUGCGUCCAUGCUUGCAUCCCACAAGCAUUCCUUACACACUGAACACGUGCCAGGCGUUUGCAGCAGACUGUGGGGAGUAAUCUGCUCUGCAGAUUUACCAGGAUCAAGAGGUCAUACUCAGGCUGGACUCGGACUUGGCAGGUGAGAGGGCGGAAGCGGUUUUCUUCAGUCCUAGAAAAAGGGACAGGUGAGAGCAGCUCAGGGAAGAAAACUUUGGGGCCGGCCCUGUGGCCGAGUGGUUAAGUUCAUGCACUCUGCUUCGGCAGCCCAGGGUUUGGAUCCUGGGCGCGGACAUGGCACCGCUCACUAGGCCAUGUUGAGGCGGCGUCCUACGUGCCACAACGAGAAGGACCCACAACUAAAAUAUACAACUAUGUACUGGGGGGAUUUGGGGAGAAAAAAAAAAAAGAAAACUUAGGCAGCGCCAGCCUUUGCCAGCUCCUCACUGCCCUUCAGGGCAGGACAGAGGGCCUAACUAGGAAAGGCCUUCUUCCAGGCCAGCUUAAGGAAGUCCUCAGGGGGCUGCGGGUGACACUCGCUCAGAUAGUGUCAGAGGCCCAGGGAGGGAUCUGUGGGGCCAAAUAGGAAACUGCCUUCCUCACUUGGGGCCAGGCAGUGGGGAGAGCUGCAGGGCCCUGGUGGCUGAGGCCGAGGCUGACAUGCCAGGCAGGCAGAGUGUUACGAGGAAUAUUCUGGUUCAUUAGGACUGGUACUCUGUAACUCAUGAGGUGUCCUCCAGCUCUUGAGUGCUAUUUCCCUCUUGGUUUCCUUAUAAAGUACUUCCUGAGAAAUCUGCAAUCUUGUCUUAGUUGCAACAAUAAGAAAAAAAGACUUAUUCACAUCUAAGCCAGAUUCAAUGGAGAAGGAAGGGGCUCCUGGGUCAGGCUAAACGGUGGCAGCUACAGAGAAUGGGCUGGGGUGGGCACCUCCCCAGGAACAGCUUUGAUGAAUGCUCCCUCCCUCCAGGGAUGACUGCUCCUUUGAAGAUCUGUGUCAUCAAUCAGAGUGGCAAGAACCCUCCACCAUGCAGCAAAGAUCAAACAUGAUGCGUUAAAAGUGAGGACAGAGGAGGUGCCCGCCGAGCUCUGCCCCGAACACCUCCUGCUCUUGGUCUUGCAAGUCCACAGCCGAGUCUGGAUGGAGAAGCCUCUGGCCACUCUAAAGAUGCAGCCACACUGAUCCCACAGGUCCAAAGAGGCCCCUUGUUUCUCCUGGAGAGAUGCCAAGGCUGAUCCUUCAACAAGGCAGCUUGUGCCAUCCUUUCAGCCUGACUGUCCUUGGAUCAGAUUCUUGCCCAUCUGCCCCCUUCUCUCAGUUGAGCUAAAGGCAGGCUCCUGCCAGGGAAAGUGGCAUGUAACCAGCUGCAUGACCUUUGCCCCAAAGGAUGCUUGGACCAAAAUGGAGGUACAGAGGGAAAAGAGGGAAGAAAGGUAGGAAGAGACCAGGUGAGACCGAGCUACCUCGGACACGGGCUUCUGUUAGAAGAGGGAGUGAAUUACAGCUGAAGAAGGCAGCUAGUGAACUUGGAUUUGAUCUGGGCUUGCUUAACCCCAAGGAGGCCUAACAGCCAGGUGGGGUGCUGGGCUAGACAGAUUGCUGGUUAUUGUAGUAGUUGAUUCCUGCUCUUCCAGAGGGGAGCACUAACCACAAGCAGCCAGUCAUUAGAAAAGGCUGGAGCCAAAAGCAAGAAGGAGAAAAGGCUAAUCCAAUCAACAACUGAUCGCAUGUCCCUGGGAGCAGCAUGGGCUGCAUCGACCAAUGGAAAAACCCAAGCCCCAUCAGGGGCUGCCUCAGCCUCCCUAGGAGGUUGUCAGAACUCCUUCAACUGAGCCAUUCCUGGUAUUGAAACCCAAGCAAUGAGCGCUGGACCAGCAGCCUGAAAUCCCCGCUGAUGGCCCUCCCAGGGUCACCAACAUGGGUUCAGGAACUUCUGCCCUGUGUUGCCUCCUCAGCUAUAAGAAUAUCACACUGGACUGACUACACUUUGUCCCUUAAGUCCGUCCCCUAACAAAUGUUCCUGGGCCUCCUAGACGAGUCAGCCCUUACUCUCACUCACAGGGAUCUGAUUAAGAGUUAAGAGUCUGGAAAGGGGCAGGGCUUAUGGUCAGGCAGGGAGUGCAGAGCAAUGGGACCAGAUGGAGGGUGGCAUGGCUGGCGAGGGCAGUAUGUGGGCUCUUUGCCCUAUAGAGGACUCAAGAAUGUCCAGGCAGUCAUGAGCCAGCUGUCAGCCUGCCCUUCCCUUGGCCUCUCCAGAAUACUGGCCCCAUUGACAACUUAACACCCAGCAGAGCCCUGCAUCUCAGAUUCAGCAACCACUGGCUUGAGGCCAUCUCUGGCAUUUGUAAUUGGCCUGGGCGCAAGGUCCUCAAAAGAGGCCUGGGAGGCAGUGGGUAGGUGGCCAGGUCAUGGGAGGGCCGGAUUGAAUGGAGGCUGAGAGCUGCCCUAGCUCUACACACCAGCUUCCUGGCAGGAUGGCAGCUACCCAUCAGAUGCCAGUGUCUGUCGGGAGUGGAGCAUCUGCAGUGACAGCCCUAGGGCCAGGAAGCAGGGUGUGGGAGGCAUGUGAGGCGAUGCUGGGCUCCUUGCCAGCUCAGAGCCCAGAUGGCAAGAGGAAGCCUCCAGCCUGGACAGCUGUGGGGAAAUGCAAUAGAGGCCCUUGCCUAUGGGUUCUGAUUAAGUGUGUGUGCUGGCUAUUGGGUCUUCAGCCCUGUGACCCUCUGGCCUCUCAGCUGGGCAAAGGCAGAAGUCCUGACCAGGCUGGGUUCUCUGCCAGACAGGAACCAAUGACCUAAGAAUAGGGCCUGGUGGGAAUCCGUGAGUUGAUGAAUAGGCUCUUCUCUCCAGGCUGCUUCAGGGUCACAAAGUGGUUGGUGCAGGAAUCUCCUGAGCUGUCCAAAAUCACAGUGCAUCCUCUCAAGCUCCCACUUAUACCUGACCCCCGCCCACCUCCUUGUAAGGACAUGGCUGGGGAGAAGGGUGAAAGGGGAUCUUGGUGCAGAAGGAUUUAGGAUAACAUUUAGGGAGAAAUUGCUGAUAUGAGCCUGGGAUGCUGCUUCCUGAAAACUUUUAGCUAUAAAAACUACAACCCCUGUUUACUUGAAUCAAAUCAGACGCAAGGUUAGCUAGAAGCAGGGAGUUGGGCAAGAUGACCUUCACAAGCAGAUGACCUUGACAAGCCUUCAUGGUGACCUCAGGCAGAGGUGCCUGGACAGAAAGACCCCUGCCCUCUUGUCCACCAGGCCUCAUGCUAACGCAACGAGAAAAGGCCAACUGAGAUGUAAACCUCAUGUUCUAACCAACAGAAGAGUUGAUCAGGUGCUCCUGCUGCAGCCGAGCCCAAGGACCCCUGGGUUGUAGAAUCAUAGUUGCCAGAGGGAAAGGGAGCUGAAAGAGCAGGCUCUGCCAUCCCCAUCAAAAGACUGGAGUUCAGAGAGGUAAUUUGCUAAUUUCAGCCCUAUUUCCGAGGGGUUUCCAUGCCCCUGGAGCUUGAGGAGAAUGCCUUCCAGGAGAGCAGCUGGCACCAAGCCCAAGUAAGUGGGGCAGGACAACCAUGGGGAGCUGGGUGUGCAGAGUGGUCCCCAAGGCCCCAGCCAAGUUUCUGGGCCCCAGAUGAAGAGUGAAUCACUGGUUCACCCUGGAGGAGAAUAGUCAGUCACCUCGUAAAAGUUUAUUUUUAUACAUGUCUGAUCUAUUUCACAUCCGCUCAGAUAUUUUGACACAUAUACAGGAAAUGUAACUUUCCCCCAUAUGGCAGUGUUUGGUUGGCCAGACCUGGGGAAACUCAAUAGGGUCACAGAGGAACAGAGGGGAGUUGCAGCGUCAGAGAAGAAUGCCAGAGGCCUGAGGCCGAGAUGGGCACCUGGGGCAGGCAGGCUGGGGACAGGGGUCACGGCGAGGUCAAUGCAGAAAUCCCCCUGCCUGGGUACGGAGUCCCAGGGCCCAACGCCUAGGAGGCUGAGUGUGCUCUGGCUGCUGCUCCCCAGGAGGGAUGCGCUGAGGAUGAAGCGGUCCAGGAGAGAGUAACCAGAGAGAACAGUCCAGGGCAUGUGGCUGUUUGAAGAACAAAGACAAGUCGGGUCUGAGACGCAAAGGCAAAGAUACCUCGGACAUCAGCAAGGUAUCUCAGCAAAGGAGCAGGGCUUUCCCCGACAUCCCAGCAUCCUGGCAUCCUGGCACGAGGAGAUGAGGAGACCUACAGCUCAAAUGAAACAAAGGCUCUGGGCUGGGCACUACCCAGCUGGCCCUUCCCCAAGUCACUGAACUUGCAUGGACCUCAAUUGCCUCAUAUAGAAAUUGCAGUUGAUAUUACCCAGCUAGGAGACCUGGAGGAUUCAAGGAGAGAAUGCAUGUACUGUUUCUCCAAAGGGUCUGAUAAAGGAGAAGGGCUGGGAAAAUGCUGGUUCUCUCUCUCUCCUGAAUCAUAAAAUGGGGAGGAUACUGGUAUGUCUUGUGCAGGGAGGAUGAAAUGGGAAGAUGUGUGUGAACCACCUGGCAUAACACCUGGCUCCGGGGUGGCCAGUGAACUUGGUUCUUUCCUUCAGUUCCGUUCAACAGGUACCGAGCUCAGAGUCCAGAGAGAGCGAUCCCAUCAGGUCUUCAAAUGAUGCUGACAGGCCCUGGAGGGGUGUGCUCGUAGGAUGGUGCGGAAGAAGAGGGAGCGGCUCCUUCCCAGGGGCCCCUCCCCCCUGCAGACAGUCAGAGGAGUCCUUCUCAGCUCUCCCAGAGAGAAAAGUAAACCCGUGCAGCUCAUCAUUCCAAGAGGGACAGUGGGCCAGAAUAACACACUGAUUUGGAGGUGCAGAACUGAGGCCUGGAGAACAGACAUGAUUAUCUUAGAACCGCACAGCUAUCAGAUGACAGAUCUAGCAUUACCUCCACCUGCCUCCUGUAAUAACAAGAAUAAUCAAGCUUCCUAUAGUAGCAGCAUAUAGUAUAGUGCCGAAAUAGACAAUAUACAGUACAGCGUCAGAUACCAUCCACAGUGUUUGUGUUCGAAGCACACACAUCUGUAUCACAAUCCUAUGAGGUAGGUACUCCUACUACCCCCAUUUUACAGACGAUGAAACUGAGGUGCAAAGAGAUUCAAUAACUUGUCCACGGUCAUACACCUAGGAAGUGGCAGAGCAAGAUUCAAAGCCAGGCACUUGGCCUCCAGAUUCCGCAAGCACCAUCACUCGACAAUCCCGCCCCUCCCCACUCUACAGCAGGUGGUCCCUUUAUCGGGAAAUUCAGGGUGGUGGAGGCACGGCCUCUGGUUUAGACAGUAACAGAGUUCUCAGAGGCCUGUGAGCCUUGCCCAUGAGAGGAGGUGUCCACAGCAUGUGUCAGGGUCCAUGUGUCCUGAGAAACUCCAAGGCCAGUGCUGAGGAGGGACGUCACAGGAAGGGGUCGGCUGAGACAAGAGGAUCCUGUCUUGUUUCCAGACUAGAGACAAUAAAGGCCUCUAUUCGGAGCCUCUGACCCCCCAGCCAGCUUCUCCCGGAAGGGCCUCUUGUCCCCUUCUGGGAAGGCCCUGGAGAAUGUGCCCUUCCUCCUGACCCCGCUCUGGGAGCGGCAGCUGAAUCUUGCUCAAGGAGGGCCCCAUCCACUACAGUCCGGCUGAACCCCACUUGGACCCAUGGCCUCCCCAGCCACGGGGGACUUCUUGGGUACCUGGUUUGGCUUUCCCCCCCGGUAUAUCGAGGAAUGUGCUUCUGUCAUCCUAUCCUCCCUCCCCGAUCCUAGCCCAGCGCAGAAUUGGAUUAAGAACAAAAAUAUGAGCUGUGUUUGUUUUAAUCAGCUUCAAGACAUGGGGGCUUUUAAAGGGAAGGCGAGCAGGCCGGAGCUGGCCCCGGGGCAGCCAGGCUGGGCGGCGAUGCCAUCCAGGGGUCAGGAGCAUGCUGAGCAGCGAGUGCAUCGGCAGGUCAGAUCCUGCAGCAGAUAAGGGCUGAGCAAGAGGACAUGGGGGGCCGAGGGCUGGGGCUGAGGGACGAUGAAAAGGAUGGGAAGGAGGGAGGGAAAGACACAGGUUUCCCCUGACAGCGCAGAGGGGCCAGGCUGCCCACAAUCCCCAUGCUGGAGUGAGGCGGGAGGCUGAGGGAGCCUCCUGGAGCCUAGAAGAGCCAAUAGGGAGUAAUUUCUUCCAGAGGAGGGGCUUCCUCCUGGCCUUUGGAAUGAAGAAUGAUGGGAAAGAGGUGAGGGAGGGUCAACAAGGGUCUCUACCACCCAAUCGCAGAAAGAGCCCCUGGCAGGGGCUGCCACAGAGCCCGAGCAGUGAUAUCUGGACUCAAGCUACGUGCCCAGACGUGCCAGCACUAGAGGGGAUAGGUGCUAACAUUAAGUCAAACAUGCAGAAGCCAGUGGAAAAAGGGAGGUGUCAGGGCCAGGUCGAGGGAACCAAGGCCUGAUGGAGCAAGAGGCUGGGAGAAAAUCCCUGGGCAGAUCUCAGGUUCAGUGAAGACCUGGGGGCUGUGGGUGUGGAGGGAGGGCUCUGAAGUGGAAGCCAGGAACCUGCCUACUCUGGGAUCCUGGGACAUUUAGCAACUUCUUAAAAACAAGCCCCUGUGGCCAUAUAACUGUACACUUGCUGUGUGAUGGCUAUAUUCACAUUAGCCCUGGGAGCCAAGGGAAGGGGCCCGGAGAGGUUCAGGGACUGGCCCAAGGUCACACAGCCAAUGAGAAAAGCUGGUACAAUUCCCUAAGGCUCAGGAUAUCCAGCCAGUGCUCCAAUCUCCAGGGCUGGAACAGCAUCCAGAUGGAAACAAGGAGGUCAGAAGGUUGAGGGCAGAGCUCCCAGAGGCCCUUCCCAGACCCUCCUGCUCCCCUGCCACCAGGCUCCAGGAGAAGGACCUGGAUUGGCUCUGCCCACACUCCAUUCAGCCUCCAACACUGUGGGCCGCCCUUGCCUGGAGGGGGCGUGAUGCUGCAAGUUGGGGCCACAGCCCACCCGCCCUUACACCAGAGCAGGGGCGGCUCCUUGAGACAGAUCUGGGUCUUCUAAUUCAGGUCCACAGACGGUUUUGGUCCACAAUGAUGCUUUUCCUGGUCUGAGGGGAAGGGGAAAAAUUGUAGUGAAUUCUUUAUAUGGUACAUUUCCUCAGCUUUUAAAUUUGAAAUAGCAUCCCUUUUCUCGUUUAAAAAGCUCUUUCUUGUUACAAAACGUGAUGAAAGUAGGACUUCUAGAAAGUCUAUUCUUGGUAAAAUAAAAAUGGUCCACCCUUUCAAUUAAAAACAAUUUUAAACAGUCCAUAAAAUCCACAAGUUUGGGAACAACUGUAUUAUUUCAUUCGGAAACAUUGUUACCUAGCCUGAGGCACAGGCUGGGGCUCUGCAUGCUACAAGUACUUAACAAAUGCGGACCACAGGAGUUAUCACCAUCCAGGCAGUGAUGGAAAGGGCAUCACAGUUUAGUGAAGUCCACGCACUUGGGAGCACUGGACUCUAGAACCUCAAACAGCCAGGCAGGCCUGAGCAGGUCACUGUGGUUUCGGCCUCGGUUUCCUCUUUGCAAAGAGCAGCAGACAGGACUAUGGGGUGGCCUCUGAGAUGAAUCCCAGGGCAGCAUUCCAUGGCUCAAGGAGGAGUGACUCCGAGCUCCUGGAGAACAGUCUCGAGCCUGAGCACGUGGCCGCCCACACGAGAGGUUCUAGUAACAACAAUAAUAAAGGGUCUGCUGGCCACAAGAAAAGGGCUUAAUUGGACUUUAUCUAGGACUUAGGCCCAAACCAAACGAACACACUGUCCCAAGCCUCUGGAUGCAUCUCCCAGCCCCUCCAGGCUGACACCAGUCUUGGAGCUUCCCUUGCAGCCUGAGUCAUGCCACCCCCUGCAGGCCAAGUCAAUUCAAUUCAAUGCAGCAAAACCUGACUUAGCCCGGCUCUGUGCCAAAGGGGUGGGCACAUGCAUUAUCCAGGAAAGCAGUACAUACGGCAGUGCUGCAUCAUUUAAAUUUAGAAUAUACCUAUUCGUAUGUAUCUACUGCAUCCACGCCUGUUAAGAGGCAAUUAGACUAAAUAAAAUAUGACCAGUCUCCACCCUCAAGGACAAGUCCUUGGAAAAUAGCCCAACUGACCCGAGGGGGAUAUAGAGGAGAGAGGGGACCCAGUCCUCCCCCAGGGGCAUUCUGGCUACCUGAGAAGGUGGGUGCCCUGCACAGACCCAGCAACAAGGUAAACCAGAGGCAGAAGGUGUGGACUGCAGGCCAUUCACAGGGCCUGGGACGUGGGAGUCUCCCUCAAUGCUGGGGCUGCAUUUGAAUGGGCGGGGGGCCGGGGCCAUUCUGCCCCUUCCUAAAGCACGGCCCUCACACCCCUGGGGGAGGAGAGCUUGUGCCUGUCUGGAGCAGGGCACUGUCACCCCAGGCACUGUCCCCAGGGCGUGGGUGACUUUUUCCAGCCUUGGUCUGGUUGUGAAGCAGGAAAGAGAUGCUUUGGCAGGGUCCUUGGGUGCAGGGGGAGUGAGCACAACUGCCUCCACUCAGCGUGGAAGGGACAGAGGAGCGAUGGGGGCGGGGCGAUGGCAGCCCUCCCACCCCCUCAGGCGGCCCAGCUCUGCACAGUCUCAGCCCCAUUCCCUAGACACCAAGGGACACCCGCUGCUGACACCAUGGCAUUGGGUUUCCCCUGGGCUAGCUCAGGCUACUGUCACCAGGCCUGCCAGGAAAUUGCUGCUGACACUCGCGGAAGGGCCCGAGGAGUGGGGAGGCCGGGGAUUGUGAAGUCUGUGAGUUCUGAGCAGACACUAGACGGGGCUGCAGCAAGGGAGACAGCUGUAGGUCUGAGGGGAAUUCUAGCCACGCAGGGCUGGGCCUUGAGUCUUCAUCCUGGUCCUGCCCCUCUUGGGCUUCCCCAGGAGGCCAGGGAACCUGGCAGCUUGUGGCCAGCCUGGCUUCAUGGGGUAAGAUGGAGGGGAAGGGUCAGCACUGUCUGAGGGUCAUAGGACUCCCCUCCACACCCCUACCCUCAAGGUUGUACAAAUUUGCCCCUUAGCAUCCCCCCAGGAAGAAAGCCACAGCUGCCCCACCCUCACCAGGCCACAUGCCUGGACACUGAGGGGUUCCUACCCCCUUUAACCUGGAUAGGGAUCAUGACCCCCUCCUCCUGUGUUUUCCCCCAUCCCGCUGCUGUCCUACCAGGUCCUAAGCAGCCUGCUCUGCAUCCUUACCCAGCCUGUAUGCCAUUCCUUUCUCUCUCACUCCCCUGCUGCCUCUCUCUUCUCUGCUGUGUUUAUUAAAAUAAAAACAUGCAUUGGUUCCCAGGUGCUCCUGAGUAUUUCGAAGACUUAGGGAGAGGGCUGGGCAUGUUGGCGAUGGAAUGACCAGAGCAACAGAGCACUCUCUGGGCUCUCAAGGGAAUACCUACAGGAGGCUGGGCCCAAUCCACUUGCAAAGAAAUAUCUAUGGAUCUCUCUCCCCUCUGAACUACACGGCUCCCCACAGAUGAAAGCCCUCAGUUCUAGACUGUGACAUCUGCCAUGGCUUUGAUCCUGGACCACCCAACCCUAGCCUCAGCCCCAGGCAGGAGGAAGAGGAAGGCCAGAGGUAGAAGCAGGCCCAUUGGAAAUGUGGGAAGGGUCCGGACCUGCAGGGAGAAAGCCACAGGGGCAGCCAGGCCUGCCCACAGAGUGACAGUGGUGAUGGAGAUGCGGUUGCAGGGUGAUUGAGGGUGGUG